GAUGAACGCUAGCGAUAGGCUUAACACAUGCAAGUCGAGGGGCAGCAUGGUCUUAGCUUGCUAAGACUGAUGGCGACCGGCGCACGGGUGCGUAACGCGUAUGCAACUUGCCUCACAGAGGGGGAUAACCCGUCGAAAGACGGACUAAUACCGCGUACACUUGGGAUAGGGCAUCCUGACCCAAGGAAAUGAAAUUCGCUGUGAGAUAGGCAUGCGUCCCAUUAGCUAGUUGGUGAGGUAACGGCUCACCAAGGCGAUGAUGGGUAGGGGAACUGAGAGGUUGACCCCCCACUCUGUGCUUGAGCACCCGCCCCGGUCCCUAGGGACGGCCGAGAUGGGGAAUUUUGGCAAUUGGGGGGGAGCUUGAACCAGCCACGUGAGCUGAAGGAAGCCUUUCUUCGGGAUUGUAAAAUUCUUUUUUACGGGAAAACCCAGAGACCCUUGUGGCUCCCUGCAGUUCCCUUAUGAUAAACCCGCGCUUACCCCCGU
rnacentral:rRNA from 1 species